UACAUACCAUGGCUCCCAUCAUUCAUCCCAG
rnacentral:piRNA from 1 species